GGGUGCCGAGAAGAGACAGCGCCGCCGGCCGUGGGGAGCGGACGCAGUGAUUUGCUCCCCCUCGUGCAGCAACCCCCACACCCAGCACCAGGCCCCCAGAACUCUCCUUCCAGCUGAACUCCCUGGGAACAAGUCAGUUGGGCUGAUCACUGAACUCACAUUUCUGGACCUGAGGAGCCUGUUCCUCUCACGCCCUCACCUGGCUGAGCCGCAGUAGUUCUUCAGUGGCAAGCUUUAUGUCCUGACCCAGCUAAAGCUGCCAGUUGAAGAACUGUUGCCCUCUGCCCCUGGCUUCGAGGAGGAGGAGGAGCUGCUUUCCCCAUCAUCUGGAAGCAUCUCCCUCCAGCCCUCGCUAUGUGCCUCUGCCAUCUUCACCCAUCAUGGAGCAGAGGUGAGGAGAGGCAGCCUGGGAAUAUGGAGACCAGUGAAGGACCAGGCCUGGAGAGCACAGGGUCCUACCUGGGCAUCCAGCAGAGGAGCCCCUAAAGGCCAGGAGCACCCCAAGAGGAGGGAGGGCAGCCAGCCUCCAUUGACGGCGAGCCUCCAGCCCUCUCCUACUUUGAUCACCAUUUCUCUCCAGGCUUUCUGCCUCCGAGAUGUGGCACCAUAGUGCGGUGCCCUGUGGCUUCACCGCCCUACUUCCACCUCCGCCCAGCCUGUAAUGUUUAUAUAAGCAGCCUCAAGGACCAAGAACCAUCUGCGAAAGGACACACACAGGAAAUUCAUAAAAGAAAUCUGAAUGGAUAAAACCAUGAAAAAAAGUAUGCUUCAUUAGUAAUUAAAGAAAGGCAAAUAGAGCUGGAAGCAUUUUUCCCUUAGCAAACCAUAACAGAAAAAAAUAAGACCCAAUAUUGGCAAAGAGACUACUGAAAAAACAUUCCCAUACAUUGCGUGUGGGAGUAUACAUCGGUGCAGGCUUCCUGGAUGACAGUUGGGUGAUAUGUGUCAUGUGGCCUAAAAGCCUCCAUGUCAUUUGACCUACGAAUUCUAUCUUUGGGAAUUUAUCCUAAGAAAAUACUUAAGGAUUUAGUUAGUGAUAAGAUGUUCAUCCCAGCAUUGCAAUGGAGAAAAAUGGGAAGCAAUGGUUUGGUUGGGAAUUUAUUCCUUUUCUGCUGUAACGAAAGUUUGCAAUAGGGGAUUGCUUAAGUAAAUUAUUGUAUCUCCAUCCAGAUGGUGGAGUACCGCGCAGACAUUAAAAGUCAUGUAAAAGAACAUCUGACUGAAAGAAAAAUGCUCCUUGAAUAUUAAAAGGUUGUAAAAAUAGUGCAUGUUAUGUGAUUUCAAUUUUGUUUUUUAAAAUAUGGGUGUAUGCUUGUAUACGUAGAGCAGAUAAAAAAGACGGAAGGCAUACUAAAAAAUGUUGAGUGGUUAUCUUUGUAUGGUGGAACAAAGUCACUGUAAUUUUCAUCUUUGGUUUUUCUGUAAUUUCCAAAUUUUCCACAUUUUGUAUUUCAUAUAAUAUAAUUUAAGAGA
rnacentral:lncRNA from 1 species